rnacentral:rRNA from 1 species
AUUGAACGCUGGCGGCAGGCCUAACACAUGCAAGUCGAGCGAGCGGCGGACGGGUGAGUAAUGUCUGGGAAACUGCCUGAUGGAGGGGGAUAACUACUGGAACCGGUAGCUAAUACCGCAUACCAUCAGAUGUGCCCAGAUGGGAUUAGUUAGUAGGUGGGGAAACGGCUCACACGGGCGACGAUCACUAGAUGGUCUGAGAGGAUGACGAGCCACAAUGGAACUGAGACACGUUCCAGACUCCUACGGGAGGAAGCAGUGGGGAAUAUUGCACAAUGGGCUCAAGCCUGAUGCAGCCAUGCCGCGUGUGUGAAGAAGGCCUUCGGGUUGUAAAGCACUUUCAGCGGGGAGGCGUUACCCGCAGAAGAAGCACCGGCUAACUCCGUGCCAGCAGCCGCGGUAAUUC